UACGUAGGGGGCAAGCGUUGUCCGGAUUUAUUGGGCGUAAAGAGCGUGUAGGCGGCUAGAUAGGUCCGUUGUGAAAACUCGAGGCUCAACCUCGAGACGUCGAUGGAAACCAUCUGGCUAGAGUCCGGAAGAGGAGAGUGGAAUUCCUGGUGUAGCGGUGAAAUGCGCAGAUAUCAGGAAGAACACCAACGGCGAAGGCAGCUCGCUAGGACGGUACUGACGCUGAGACGCGAAAGCGUGGGGAGCGAACAGG
rnacentral:rRNA from 1 species